GACGUAGGGGGCCAGCGUUGCUCGGAAUUACUGGGCGUAAAGGGUCCGUAGGCGGUGCGGUAAGUCGGGAGUGAAAUCUCUGGGCUUAACUCAGAGGCUGCUUCCGAAACUACCGUGCUAGAGUGCGAGAGAGGCAAGUGGAAUUGCGGGUGUAGCGGUGAAAUGCGUAGAUAUCCGCAGGAACAUCCGAGGCGAAAGCGGCUUGCUGGAUCGCACUGACGCUGAGGGACGAAAGCUAGGGGAGCAAACAGG
rnacentral:rRNA from 1 species